rnacentral:misc_RNA from 1 species
UCCCCUUUUUAAGGGGCAGUCUCGUUAGACAUAGUAACUAACAACAAGGGUUGCGCUCGUUGCGGGACUUAACCCAACACCUCACGGCACGAGCUGACGACAGCCAUGCAACAUCUGUGCUAGUGCCCCUUGCGGGGAGACCUGCUUUUACAGGCUGUCACUAGCAUGUCAAGUCCUGGUAAGGUUCUUCGCUUAUCAUCGAAUUAAACCACACGCUCCGCUGCUUGUGCGGGCCCCCGUCAAUUCUUUUGAGUUUUAGCCUUGCGGCCGUACUCCCCAGGCGGGGUGCUUAUCGCGUUUGCUGCGGCACAGGGGGGGUCGAUACCCCCUAUACCUAGCACCCAUCGUUUAGGGCGUGGACUAC